GCGGAGGAGGCAGCGUGGCCGAGUGGUUAGGGCGCUGGACUUGUAAUCCGAGGUCCCGGGUUCAAGUCCUCCAUCCUGCCUUCCGCU
rnacentral:tRNA from 1 species